AAUCAACGCUGGCGGCGCGCCUAACACAUGCAAGUCGAACGAGAAAGUCCGCAAGGAUGAGUAAAGUGGCGUACGGGUGAGUAACACGUGGAUAACCUGCCCUUCAGUGGGGAAUACCGCUGGGAAACCGGCGACAAUACCGCAUAAGCUCGAGAGAGGAAAGCAGCAAUGCGCUGAAGGAGGGGUCCGCGGCCGAUUAGCUAGUUGGCAGGGUAAAGCCUACCAAGGCNGUGAUCGGUAGCCGGCCUGAGAGGGCACACGGCCACACUGGCACUGAAACACGGGCCAGACUCCUACGGGAGGCAGCAGUGGGGAAUCUUGCACAAUGGGGGAAACCCUGAUGCAGCGACGCCGCGUGAGCGAUGAAGCCCUUC
rnacentral:rRNA from 1 species